UACGUAGGGUGCAAGCGUUAAUCGGAAUUACUGGGCGUAAAGCGUGCGCAGGCGGCUAUGCAAGACAGAUGUGAAAUCCCCGGGCUCAACCUGGGAACUGCGUUUGAAACUACAAGGCUAGAGUGUAGCAGAGGGGGGUAGAAUUCCACGUGUAGCAGUGAAAUGCGUAGAGAUGUGGAGGAAUACCAAUGGCGAAGGCAGCCCCCUGGGUUAACACUGACGCUCAUGCACGAAAGCGUGGGGAGCGAACAGG
rnacentral:rRNA from 1 species